rnacentral:lncRNA from 1 species
GUUCAUUAAAAAUUACUGACAUGAAGCAGAUUAAUAGGAGAAAAGUAUACAAAACUAUUUAAUGUGUAUACAUAGGAAAAUCACUGAGUGAUUUCCUAUCCCACAGCAUGGUUCAGGAAAAGAGAAAUUCUGUUGAGUGGAUUACUAGGAAGGAUAAAUAGAUCAGGAAACAGAAAUUAACUUGUACAUUAUCUUGUGAAAGAUUCUGUUCAGGUGUGGUUACACUUUUGGUAUUAUAAGGAGAGGAACAAAAACUUUUUUUUCUUUUGUUGGGUCUGAUCUUAGGUAGAUAAAGGCUUUGGGAGAAUCAGAGGGAAGGGGAAGGCCAGAGACAGCUUGAAGCUUCUUCAGUUCAGCAUGUCAAAAUGCCACAUUUUGGGCUAUCAACUUCUGUAUUAGUCUAUUGUGCACUGCUAUAAAGGAAUACCUGAGACUGAGUAAUUUAUAAAGAAAAAAGGUAUAUUUGGCUCAUGGCUCUGCAGGCUAUACAAGCAUUGCACCAGUAUCUGCUUGGUUUCUAUUGAGGCCUGAGAAAGCUUUUACUUUUGGCAGAAGGCAAAGGCAGAGCAGGUGUGCUCGCAGGCAUGUCACGUGGUGAGGGAGGGAAAAAGAGAGUGGGGGAGGUGCCAGCCUCCUGCUCUUGAGUGAACUAACAGAGCAAUAACUCACUCAUUAUCCUGGGUAGGGCAUAAAGCCAUUCACGAGGGAUCUGCCCCUAUGACCCAAACACCUCUUACCAAGUCCCACCUCUAAUAUAUUGGAAAUCACAUUUCAACAUGAGAUUUGAAGGGGACAAAUAUCCAUACUAUAUUAGUUUCUGUGCCCCAAUAAGAUCCAUGAGUCUUGCAGUAACUACUGAAUUACUGUACUCAUUUCUAUCUCCAACGGAUGAGGAAAGUUGGAAUAGAGUCUCCUCCUACAAGUGCAAAUGUUCCUGAGAAGAGUAAAGGUAAUAUAUGUAAAGCUGCUCUGAUGAGCAAUCAGUCAACAACAAUCAGCCAGGAGAAGGGACUGCUUCUAGGAUGAUGCCUUACCACCACUACCUUUCAGUAUAAGGUCCAGCCUAGAGUAGAGGGGGAAACAGAUAUGGAGAAAAUGACCUAAGUCCAACGCAAUUAUGCCGUUCCAGGUAUCUCUCCACCCUCUGACCCCUGGGUCACUAACCAACAGCCGAGAGAAGAUGAUCCCUUGUGGAGGGUGGCUAACCUCACAGCAUGUAUAGGAUUAGACUCAUCAGAGAGCUGAAGUUGCAAGGCAAACUAUCAUCCUGAAAUUUGGGAAAACAGAUGCACCAGAGACCAAUAUCUGCUUAUCUGAAGCAGAAGCUGUUAAAGUGCUGAAAACAAAGAAACACUUAAAUGGAUGAUGAAACUCCCAUGGGGCCAGCCACAGCAGUAACCAGACUCAGAAAUGGACAUUCUUCACACUGAGCUGCAUUAACCCAGGGAGAAGAAGAGGAGAGGCAACACGCCAUAUUUUCUAAUGAGUUAAAGCCUAAUUUAAUCUGGAAAUAACUAAUGUUGACUAGUGUGUUUCCCCUAAAAUAAUUGCCUCUGAUGGUCAAUUUUAUAGCUAAACCUAAAAAAGAUGAUUUAGGAAACACUGAGAAGUUCAUCCCUCUUCCCACAAUAAAAAUAUACUUUGCAAUUUAUUAUUACAACUAUCUUUCAAGUUAUUUCCGUGGGUCUAUGUUAUUUUGAGAAACACAGAUUACCCAAAGAAUCUUACUUAACCAGUCAGUGACAUCAGUGACAUUCAGAAUCAAGUGUAUAAGGUUAUAUAUCUAUUUAUCAAUAUUUAUUUUAGUCCAUCAGCUGAUCAUAAAAUAAUAAAGGGCUUCCUCUUUAUUCUACUCCUUGGUAUACCUUAUAAAUUCAAUCCUACUUUCCCUUCAUUUCGCUUUCCCCAAAAUUUUCACUAUGAUUGAAAUUACAUUUACUAUAGCACAUGAAGUCUUUACAAAGGCACCUUUUUCUUCUGUUUUUGCUCACUGUUCACAGUGUAGAAUGUCUAGUAUCCCAUUAAAGUGCUCAAUAAUAAAUGCCUAUCAUACCCAAGGAAUUGUAUGAUCCAAAUGGUGUAAAUAGAUAAAUAUUGUACCCUUUACAUCCAUGGAGAAAAAUUCACUUUGGAGAUUUAUACAGUGGUAUUUCCAGCUCCUAACCCUUUGGAUUCUACAUGCAUUUCCUCCCACUAACUGAUCCACACAUAAUAGAUCCUUCAGCCUGUUAGCAGUGCCCCACUCCUUGAACAUACACUAUGCUCUCUUUUUUUGUUGAAUUUUCUCUUCACUAACAUCCUAUUUAAAACCCAGUCAGCCCUUUAAAAUCUGGCUCAAAUUGGGCUCUAGAUCAAUACAAGUAAAUCUAUCUAAUCAAACACAAAUCUGCUUAAUGCUUAAUUCACCUAAGGAACUAUUUGAAAAAUUUAUUUUGGUAAAACAUAUAACAUUUUCUAUAUAAUGGAUGACUUUUAUCUUUUGGGAAUUUUUGUAUUUUGUAUAUUUGUAUUUUGUAUUUGUAUAUUUGUAUUUUUGUAUAUUUGUAUUUUGCGUGUUUUAAAAAUUUCAGAAUUAUUUAUUCAAUUUACCUAAAUCAUUUCAGCCUUGAUUCCACAUUUUCAGUAUUAUUCAGUUUAAUGCAUUAUGUUGACAAUAAAAUUAUUUAUUUCAAUGUAUU